UUGCAACCUUGAAAGCAGCUGCUACAAACCAAGCUAUAAACGACUGUUGAUACCGAACUAAUUGUGUAUACGCGCACGAAAUUCUGUUUACUGUCUGCAUAAAAUUCAUUCAUUACGUACGACAUGUAGUUCGUCUGGCAAAGAUUAUUUUUAUAAAUUUAUUAUGUAUGGUUCUACGUACAUAUAUUGUAAGCUUAUAUUUUUAUCGCAAAAAAAUGAUAAUUUUUCACUCUGUUGAUUCCAAAGUAUAAAAUUAGAUAAGUUCGUGAGAUGAAAAUUUGCAUUUUGUUGCUAAAUUUUCAAAGUGUAUUGUGGAAAAAUUGUACUUUUCGUAAAUGGAAUUCAUAUCGUGCAGUUUCAUUCAGAUGAUGUAUACCUACUUUUACGGACCGUUGUCAAUUGAGUAAGACUAGGAAUUACCGAAAUAUCGUAUGUAUCUACCUAUACCUGCUUUCGCUUUUUCAUUUUUCUACUGAUUAUCGCAUCGAAGACAGAUCUACAAGGAAAAGAAUUAAUGAUGGAGGCGUUGGAAUUCAUUAUUUUAACGUGGCUCGUAAGCUUCGUACGUGCAGCAUAUUGCCAAAUGGUAAAUUCCAGCUCAGAACCGAUUUGUAACAUAAGCAUCUUGAAAGAAAACAGCACUUUUCCUCGACCUGUGUUGAACGUAUUGCAAUAUAAAUUCAUAGACAGGUGUCCCGAAAAUUACACAAAUGAAACUAUCAUUACAAGUUGUGAACAUUUCAACCUUUUCGAUAGUUUGAAUUUAGACGUAUACACUCCAGCAACAGACAACAUUACAAACAUUACCUACGCGAAUAAAUAUUGCGGCUAUUGUAAUAACUACGAGUACAAUGGUACCAAUUGGGCGUGGUGGUGGGGUUCUUGGUCCCGUACAUUUGUAUAUAUGGAAAACGUAGACCUAUGCGAGAACUACACUUCUGAAAUAAAGGCAUCAGAGGUCAAUGACCUUGACAAAUGGACGCAACAUUUUGUAAACAAUGGAUUGACACUGAAAACCUCAACAUAUCUCAAAGAGUUGGAGUUCUCUGGGAAAAAGAACUGGCCAAUAAAGUUGUUACACUAUGUGAUUCCUUGUUUAGUAACAAAUUAUCAGCAUGGUCAAGACGACAGAUUGAAAUCGUGUCAAUAUUUCGAUAAAAAUGACAGAAGUUGCGUAAAAAUGGAUUUCAUUAUUGAAGGGCUCUAUUUCGAUUAUCGUUCCAAGUCUUACAACGGUUUAUCACAAAUAAAUCUAACCGGAGGUGAUUAUUUAGUCCAAACUGGGAAUGAUGACAUAUUCUAUAUGUGUAAACAAAUUUACAAGGUUGGAUAUUGGGGUAAAUUUGUACUCAUUAUUGCUUCCAUAGCAUUUCUACUCAUUUAUCUGAUUCUUAAUUUCAAUAAGCGUCAUUUUCAAAUUUUGCCAAACCAACUUUUAUACAUUUAUUCCAUAGGUUUGAUUGUGAUUUACGUGCUGCUUACCUACAUCUAUCUGAAAUUCCCUAUCUCGUAUGUAUCCUUUUAUGUAGCUAAAAUUUUCUGGACCUAUCAGUUUAUCUGGGCGACGUUGAUUUUGAUUGUAUUUUGUCACAUGGCCUUUUCUAUGUGCAACAGAUGCGAAAAUAAAUCCGAAGGAGCUAUUAAUAUAUUCUACUUAUCCAUCCUCUUCUUUUUUGGCCUCUUAUUACCUAUAUCCCUGCCUAUAAUGUAUCUUAAUUUUUUGAAUUCCCAUGAAAACCAAUGUCCUUUAAUUCCCAGUCAUUUGGCUUUUACAGACAUUCCUUCUGAGAAUUUACAAUUUAUGAAAUUCGUCUUGGAUGCGAGCUUGGGUUUCUUCAUGCCCGCAAUAUUUUUAGUAGGGAUGUUUUGCACGUUGUGUAACAAGGGUGAGGAUGAAGAUGGAAGGAGAUCUGCAAGGUACACAGAAAAUGCUCCGACUGUUUUACGAAAAAUGCUAAUAAUUAUGGGUAUCCAUUACGUGCUGUAUAAACUUUGUUUAGGGUAUUAUGGGAAUGAGAAUUCGUACACUUUUCUUGGUCUAGCCAUAAAUAUGGAUAUUGUAGCACAGUUGAGCAUUGAUAUUCACGGUGUGCUUGUAUUUUUCGUUUUCUUAACUGAUAAUACCAUGAUUAAUGAUUUUUUGAUAAAGCGUGGAUAUAAACUGGAAAAUACUACCCGGCAGAAUGUUAAUGGUGCAACAGAAACAACCAUGGAAUUUCAGUCUUGAUGUGAGGCAGAAAUCGUAAUGUUCUCAAACGAAGUUUUUAUUUCCAGCAGUAGGUAUGUACCUACCUGGUAAAUAUUAAAUUGUUAUCUUCAUGGAUUUUUCUAAAUUUAACUCUCUAAAAUAAUUUUUAUACAGUGUGAAAGAGCUUUUUUUUCAGGGUUUAAGAUUAUAAAAUACAAAUAAUGCGCUUACCUAUUUGUUAUAAGAUACUUUGCAUUAUGAAGUGAUAUUUUUGUACUUAGGUAUCUAAAGAAUUUUGUAAGAAUUUGUUAUUGUUGUUUUUUAAAAGAAUGUUUAUAAGACAUACCGUUAUUUAUGAAUUUAUAUUUAUACUAAUACUCGUACGUAUAUUAAUAAUUAGUGCAUUGCUUAUUCCUCAAUUUGAAUAAACAACUUUUGUUUAAAUUCCAACAUUAAAAUAUACCUACACCUGUGCCCCAAAAAUUGUCAAAUUGUGAUCUUCCUCGAGUCAAGUGAUGACGUGGACACAUCAGACAAUAUCUCAUUAAAACGCUCGCUCGUCGUACACCUUCUUUGGAUAUUUGAUUUUUUCCCUUCUUUUUCUUGAAUUCGCCAGAUUGAUCAAAAAUACACUUUUGAGCUCACACUCCAGAAAUGUUUGAGUUACAUACCACCAAAUUGUGCUAAAAAUAGUAUUUAAUUGUUGAUCUGUGGGGGUUGGUUCGAACGAAUUAUUCGCAUAUUGAUUCACUUUAUUCAAAAAAAUUUAUGUUUCAAAAAAUGUAUAGGUACCUACCUUCCUAAAUAAUUUUUAUACAAUGUGAGAGCUUUUUUUCAGGGAUGAAGAAUAUAAAAUAAAAAUGUAUAUUUUGUUUUAAGAUAUUUUGAAUUUUUGGGGCGAUAUUUUUGUACUUACGAGUAUGUAAUGAUCUUUGUGUAUAAUUUACAUUUGUAUCAUUAUUGUUUUUUUUUUUUUUUAAUUUUUUACAAAUGAAGAGUGAUAUUCCAAAACUCGCUUUGUCCAUUUUUAUCAAAGUUGAGUUUUCAGUGGUACCUGGUAGAUGAAGUAUUAACUCACAUUCCUACAUCAUCAACCUACCAAAAUGAGGUGUUAAAUUCACCUAAAUAGCCAAUUCACUAAAAAUUUAAAAAAAAAUAAUGUUCCAAAACACGCUUUGUCCAUUUUUAUUGAAAUUUUUUUCAGCAGUAUUUAGUGGAUGAAAUGUAUACCUACACUCCUACAUCAUAAAUCCGCCCAAAUAAAGUGCUAAACUCGCCUAAAAAGCCAAAUUACCCGUUUAAAGGGAAACUGUUUUUCCUCUCUCCUGAAAAGUUGUGAAAAUGGACAAAGCGAGUUUUGGAAUAUCACUCUUCAAAUAUAAUACAUGCCUCUACUUUUAAUUUAUAUUAAUAAAUUCAUUGCUCGUUCCUCAA